UUGACCGCUCAUGACCAAUAUCUCUAGUUAGAGGACAUUUCACUGAACGAAAUGAGAAUACAGGUCAUUUUUUGGGUCCUUUUGAUUUUCAAAGGAGCUGCGAUGGCUUCACCCUGUUUGCACGGUUUCCCAAAGCAGUAUACAUUUCCCUUCAGUUGGUUUGUGGGCUUCUGGAUGUUUUUGCCUCUCUUCUCUGGACUUAGCGAGAGAAAAAAAAUGCAGGACGUCUUUGGGAUCCUGUUGAUGUUCACAGGAGCUGCAUCAGGUUUGCUGUUUCAGGAUCCUGUUGUCUGUAGAUUUAAUGAGAGUAGUCUGUGUUAUGUAGCUCUGGGACAACGACUGCACCUGCAAAUUCCCCUGGAGUAUAGGUUUGAACUAAAGAUCACAGACAAGACAUCUACCACUCGUUCCAUUUUAAGAUAUAUAAAAACCCAAAGUGACCCACCAAAACCAAAUGACCCAAGAUGGCAGUUUGAUAAAGAUAAAACUAUAAUACUAACCAGUGCAGAGAGGAGCGACUCUGGAACAUACACUUUAGACACCUUUGAUGCAAACGGAAAUAAUAAAGGCAGUUAUACUCUCCAGCUGUACAUUGAAGCUAAGGUGUCCUCAGUGAGCAUCCAGUACAACUGCUUGUUCCCUGAGGUCAGGAAAGUGCACUGUUCUGCUGAUGGAGACAACCUCCAGUUCAGCUGGACUUCUGAAUCAACCAUACGGUUGGAGAAUGAGAACAGCACUCUCGUACUGGAUAAAAAUAAUGAUGGAAAUGUCACCUGCCAUGUCGAAAAUCACGUCAGCCGUGACAACAAUUCCAUUGAACUCCAGUCAUGUCCCAAUUUCACUCUGAUUAUCCUGAGCUUGGUUUGUGUGCUUCUCAUUGUACUAUCGGUCUUAGCGUUCUACAUAUACAAGAGACUAGGCCUAUGGAAAAAAGGUCAGAAGGACCCUUCUCAGGAUGGCAAGGAGCUUGUGUAUGCGGACAUCACCCAUUUACCCACGAACAAGACAGAGACAAGACCAACUACAUCACAAGCUCAGGACAAGGACAUGGAGUAUGCCACGGUGGUCACUCAUCCCAGCCAGAGGAACCAGAAGAAGAACGAGGAAGAGGUGCAGUAUGGCAAGCUGGUGUUUAACACGCCUGACCAAAAAAAGAGCGUGAUGCCCAAAGUGCAAGAAGAGUGUGUGUACUCACAGGUCCAGCAUGGUCAAUAAGGGACACACUCUUAGCCUGUCUCGGUAUGUAUUUUAUUGCAAGAUCAUUCUGGUAGAGGAAGUAGCUGUUGAUGACAUUUCACCCAUACACACUCAUCUCUUACCCAAAAUCAAACCAUUUCACUAUCUGAUUAUCUAAUUACUAAAUCUUUUAGGCUGCAUACAAGCACAGUGGUUAGUGUUUCAUAAAGUGGGUACCAAAAAGGAAUGAAUGAAUUUAUGUAAUUUUCUAUUUAAAUGUAAUGUUUUGCAGUUGCCAUUUUACGUCCAUUCCACUAGGAUGAAAUGAAACCGUGUAUUGAGUGCUGAGUUCCUAGGCUUUUUUCCCCAAAGGCAUUUGUGACUCAGUAUCAUUUCACUAAUGAAGAGAAAAUAAAUGGGAUCUUCCUUCUUGCAGCUUUAAGUGUUGAACUUAAGACACAGCUGUGGCUUCAUGGACAGCUCACACACUGCUCUUUGAGUUGCUCCAUCUUUCAAAACCAACAUUUCUGCUUCUCAGUUUAAAACAAAAUGACACCUUGUCACUGUGGUCAAGUGCUGUACAUAAGAAGUGUGUAAAUUAUUCUACGAGGUUGUUUUCUACCAUUUAAAAAAUGUUACAUGGAUAAAAUGAAUGGUUAAAAUGUCAAAUUGUUCAGUUGUAAAUGGAUUUUCAGCUUAUGAUGUCUAAAACUUUCAGUUUGUGAAAUUGUGUGUGAAAUCAUGCCUUAAGAAUUGACACCUGAUGUUUACUCUCUUGCUAAACACAUGGGCAGAAAAAGCAUCAGCCAAGUCAGAGAUAUUAUUUUUUUAAUUUUAUUUUUAAUUUUUUUUUUAAAGCUAUAAAUGUGUAUAGAUGGAUGUAUUAUAUUUCACAUUGCCUUGGUUGCAUUGUCAAUUUCAAACUUGUAUCUUUGUAUUAUAUUGCAAUAAUUAAUGGAAAACCUAUUCCUGUAACUAUGCAGAGCCUCUGUUAGUACAUUUAUUCUUGAGUAAAGCAGUGUUUUACAGUGUUGCACUGUUACCUUCUCUGGAAAAUGAAAAGAGGAUGGAACGCACUUGCCUGCAUAUGCAAACAUGUUCAUGCAGACCAUUUAUUUGCGUCAUAAUUAUCCCAGCUUGUGUGGUUGGUGGAGAGCAAUUGCAGUGCUUGGUUCUAAAAAUUAAAGAAAUAAGGGUGUUGUCAUCAGGGAGUGUUGGUGUUACUGACACCAAAUAGGGUCAUUUAAAAAAAAAAAAAAAUGAAUAUCACAAUCAUUCUUUAACAGUUGAUUGCUGAUAUUCCUAUCCUUUAAGGUUUUUUUUGCAUUGGAAGUUUAAAAAAAUUACAUAGGAUUAAGAUCAAAUGGGUGGGUAGUAUUAAUAAACUUGAUGAUUACACAAGGUAGUAAGCACUCAGCUUACAAUUUGUGAUAUAAAAGUGUAUAUAUGUGAAGGAGACUAUUUGCUGACACACUUUUCAUAACUUGGUUAAAUAAAUUGUUCCUCUUUUUUUGUUGAACCAAUCUAGAUGAGUUAAUGGCAUAGUUUAAGGUUUUAAAACUGUACUGAAUUUUUACAGAAAAAAUACCUAUGCAUAAAUUGUUUGUUCUUAAUUCCCAGAAUGCCUCUACUGACUCUAUUAUUCAUGUUUAUUUAUCAACGGCAUUUAUACAAUGAUAUUUAAGAUUUGCUGGCAACUUUUGCAUGGCAGUAAUGAGUAUGAGAGUGCUGAAAAGCUGC
ensembl:lncRNA